GGGUAACAAUAGAGACCUAUGAGAAAUGAAAGCUUAUUUUAACUGGGUGCCGUGCCAGCUCACAGCACAAUGGAUCCUUUUAGCAGAGGCGAGGCGAGGUGCAGUUUGCUGCUCUCCAUGAAGAGGAAGGAUGGCCCUUUCUCCAGGCCCAACAUUUGGCAGAGCGCAGCUCCACGUUUGUCUUCGGACUGGUCAAGAAGCGAGACUCUUGGGUUAAAGGGAGCAAGAUGCUACUUCACCCUACGUGACAAUACCUCCUUACAGAAGGGUGACACCGAGGUGUUCACAUUUAUAGCGCUUCUCUCAAGUUUCUAACCCACUUUUCUAUUUCAAUGCAUAGUCAGGACAGCAAACAGACUCCCAAGAGGCACCACCUCCAACCCCUGGCUAUGUGGAACCGGUCUGAACGAAGCCUCGAGCUGCUCCUGCCACCUGCAAAGUGAGGAGGACGAUGAGUGAUGGGUGGCUUCCAGGAAGGCAGGAAGGUAAUGGCAUGCUGGUAGUUAAUGGAAGAGUUUGGACUUUACAUUUUGCUGUGGUAAUCCUGUCUGUGCAAGUGUCUGACAGCCCGCAGGCGAUUCACUGCGUGCAUCUGUGCCUUGGGUGCCUUACAGAAAAAGAAAUAUCUGUGCUGGAAAUGGAAAGCAUCCAGCAGAGAAAAAGAUUUAGUGCUCACAAGCCUAUUAAAACACUCAAAUAGCCAAGGAGACCAAAAAAAAAGCAGAAAGAUCUCUGUUUUGUAACAGUCUUUGCAACUGAUUUCAAGUGGUCCUUUUGUUUCUGUACAAUACCAAAAAUAAGGUGACACUGCACUACUAAAGAUUGCUAUCUCCCCAAAAUAAGCACCUUGGGAAACAAGCAAGUAGGUACAUUAAACACUGCUGAGCUGCAAGCUGUCUCCUGAAACUUCAGAAGGCAAAGGUUGCUCUGAAAUACUAAAGCCACACAGAUCAAUAUCGAGUGGCAAUCCCAUGUUAGCAGCCAGCAUAGUGUUAAGUUGAAAGGACACUGAACAAAUGGAAGUGCACAUAUAAAUCCUUGGUGAGAUGCAUGCUAGAAAGGACCAGUGCAGAUGAACCAGGGGUGACGGGAAGUGGAAGGCUUUCAUUUUUGGAGCAACUGUUUCAGCUCUGCUGCACUUUAGAAAGGAAGGUGUUGGCUUUUCUCGUUUGGUCAUGAGUUCAGAUUGACGAUACUUAAUUUCAGCCAUAUGUACAACUGAUAUUUAUUCUGCAGGAAUGAUUGAUAUUUCCUCUGGAAUCAGCAAUAAGAGACAGGCACCUUCAGCUGGUGAUUCAUUGGAUCCUAAAAUAGGUUUAUAAAACAGGAAUCUCCAGGGAUGAUUCAAUACGCAUCCAGUGACUAGGGCUGAAUUUAACAGCCAACGUUCAAUUAAAUAAAUCCUAUUCCAACCUACCAAUCAUGGCACACGAAUAUUUGCCAGGCAGAGAACAAGAAAUAAAGCUGAAGAAAUGAGUGAAAAAGCUCCAUUUUUUUGGCAUGUUCCAUCUGUUCAAACUCGGGCUUUUUCGAUUCACGCAGAUACACUCCAUUUGGAACAAUCACAUCAUCUCUUUUUAUUCCAAUAAAUCGCCUUUACAUCUUUAAUUUUCUUUCUCAAAAGGCAGCCAGUUCCUAAGAAGGUGUCGUGCUCCUUCCUGCCACUUCUACUCACAUCCAGUUUGAUCUGGCACGUGUGUGUUGUGCUCCUGACCUUGGAAGAACCCAUAGAGGCAGCAGAUCAUUCUUUCCCUGGAAGCUUUAAGAAGCCUAAUGUCUCUCUGUCCACAGAUCUGAGGGUGUCCGAGUCAGCUGCUCUACUUUCUGACAUAUUACAGUGGCAGAAUAAACAGAGCACUAAAGCAAUUUAAAAAAAGAAGAAUUACUAAACAUAGAAAAUAUAUUCAACUAGAGAUACACAACAACCAAAUGAGUCUUCAUACUAUGUAGCAGAGCUGCAGAUUUCACUAAGUAGGUUUAUUACAUACAAUUAGCAUUUAUUUCCUCCUGAAAAGCUAACUCUUAAUCACGUAAUUUAUGUAAAAGGCCAUAGGAUAGGUAACAAAGUAACAUAAGCAGAUUACACAUAGUGCAGCAUCCAUUAUAAAUAUUCAUUUUCAAGGAUAUAGAAUUAACAACAGAGCCAUACAAACUGUCUGACUACUUCAAUCAAAGUGAAUGUACAGAGAGAUACCACGGACUGUAAUUGCAGGACGUUCUCAAUGGAGGUCCAUGCAAAUAUCCAGCAUACCUGCAAAGAAACACUGAGCUCUCCAUCCUUUGUUUAUGUAACUCUAAGCCAGACAGAUAUUUUGCUUUGCAUAUUCUCUUCACUAAAAGCAAAUCAGCUUCGUACAUAAUAAACUUGCACUCUGAAACGUAGGAAGGCUGCAGGAUUAACAGAUUAAGCAAAAUAAAAGGAAGCAUUAAGUAUCAUCAAGAGCGAGGAAACAGUCAACAGCAACAUUGUGAAGUGAGACAUUGUUCUACCUGGUAUUGGCAACAGUAAACAUCCACCAUCAGUAACAGAACUCCUGGGACCUACCACCACAGCCUGAUGGGGAAUUAAUGGGCCUUGCACAGUCCUCUCAUCUGCAACGGCUCAGCAUCACAGCAAAGACCUUCACUCCACAAACAAGACGCAUCAUGCAAACUCAAAGGUCUCAUUGUAUAAUCUCUGGCAGACGAGACCUUCAUGCAUUUUUUUUUAAUAUGCAUAGGAAGUUGUACAGAACACAUUGUAUUGCCAUGAAACAAAGCCUUUGAAAAUGCACAGAAAAUUCUGUAGCUCCCAAAAGAAUACUGGAUAUCAGGAAGAAAGGAAAAACAUCAUCCAACAAACAGAUUAGAAGGCAGUGAAAUAGGUACAGAAUGGAGCAAAGCUAAUAUGUGUCUGAAAGGCAGCCGGACCAACAGCAGGGCAGGAUCCAUACCCAGCCCAGCCCUGUAGGCUCAGCCUCCCUCCACACAAGGGCAGCCCAAGGCUGGAGAAGAAUGGAGUGCAAGGUGCCUGGCAGCAUUCUUCGAAUGCAAUGAGAUGUGGCCAGAUGGCUGCAAGGCACAGCCAGGACCUGACGGUGCUGCUGGAACCAGAAAAACCCUCUUCUGAGGAGUAUGCAGCAAUCCCAGCUCAAUGCAAAACCAGCACUGCACACUGGUUAUGGCUGUGUGACACCGUGGGCUUUUACACUUCAGGAAGUGCUCCCUGAUAGGGGAGUAACAUGGCAGCUAUUGUCAACAUGUGACACUGAGAUAUCAAGAUAACAGUUUCUGACACAGCCGUACUAAAUGCCAUUCCUCAUUCUUCCAUGUCACUACCAGUAAAUCAAUACCAGAAAAUAAAUUAUUGCUGGCAGAAAACUCCUCCUGUCUUUUGACUGACAUAAAUUAAUGAGCUAAAUAACAUCAAAUUAUCUGAAGUCAACUGCUGUUUGCAUUGGUCCCGCAGAGGUCACGGAAGCAGACGGGAUGCAUACCUGGCAAACUUCCACACCAACAGUGAAGUGUAGUUUACAUGUGAAAUAUAAAUCAUGCUAUUUUAAUUGCAGGGAGUUUUACAUUCCGCUCUGAACAGAGGUUGGAUCUGCCCUGGCAGCACCAGUAAUGUCAUUUCAGCCACCCAAGUGAUGGGAAAGGCACGAGUCAAACUGGAAAGAACCACAAAAUGCAUAGCUAACGGCUGAACCUUGAUAAAACCCUGACACUGCAAAGGAUGGGCUGCACUCUGCUGAAUUGGAGCUGCAGCUCACCCUCCCAGCCUGGCUGCACAUACACAGCACAGCAGUGGCAACAGAGACCUCAUGCUGCCCAGAACUUGGCUGCCCGUGCAAAUCAAAUCCAUUCUAUGGGGGAGGUUUAAUGCAGAAAACCCAUCUCCAGUUCUCCAGAGCUUGGAAUGAGGAUGUUCCGCCACGUCAGGCACAGUCCUGCCAACCUGGCACUGCAGGCUCACCCCAAAUUACGCCAUCACCUCUUAUAUCCUAAUGAACACCACAGCCCUCCUCCAGCCUGAAACAUUUUGACAUAAAAAUAGGAAGACACUGUGCAGCAGGUUGAUCUGUCUGGAGGAGCGGAUGACAGUCCCAGCGCUGUGCACAGAGCUGUCACACCCACUGCCUGCCCCUCGGAAGGGAGAAGCAGCCUCCUGCCAAGCCCAGCACACAAAGGCCUCCCUGUGACGCAGGAAGCAGCACACGGAGAUAAAAGGGAAAUUCAACAGUCACACAGCCUGUGUUCCUACCUGCACCAUCAAAAGGGGAGGAAGGAUGUCAAAGAGCUGCGGCAUUUAGAGACAGGGAUCACAAAAAACAGUGGUUUUGGUUUUUUUCCCCACAAAAGGAAGAUUUGUGGAACCAAAAACUUGGCUCCUUGCAAGUGUUCUGAUCUGCUAUGAGCUGCUCCAUCGCCCUACAAAGCAUCCCCCGAAGUUAUUUCUUUUCUCUGCAAGUUAAGGGCAGCUUAUAGAAAAUUCAUCAGAAAAAUGUUUAUUUCUAAAUACUAAACCUCAGACUGAAGUACUGCGAUCAGAACUGAAAUAAUUGUGCUUCAGUGUUAUCAUGCAAGCAAUCCUGCUUUAAAUUAAAGAAGCUACCCCCUUGACUGAGCAAGUAACCAUCUCUGCAUUAUUAAAUUACAGAGCAGUCUAAGUGGAAACACUUUAGCAUCCAGAAGUGCAGCCUGUUACAUCUCACUACAUCAGCUGGCCAACCUGUGACAUCCUUGGUGAUCCCAGUCUGUGUUAAAAUACAGUCACCGGGAGCAGAAGAGGAGAGAAAACAAAAAAAAAUAAAGCUAUUUUGUAAUGGAAAGAGCAAAUGCAGGAGGGGAAAAGGCAGCAGACACUGCAAGGGGACAGCAGAGAUGCUGAAGGAGCAGGUGGCAGCCUCUGGAGCCAGCAGGAGCAGAAAAUGGAUCCCUCUCAUAAGGCGGAGUGAGGCAGACUGGAAAGCCUCAAGAAAACGUUCACCAUUCGCUUUGCAAACCCACGCACAGGUUCCACACCCCAUCAUCUCCAAAAAGCCUUCCAGACAGCUCCCCACCCAGGAUUAGUGGGUUUUACUUGGAGCAAAUGAGGAAUAACAGCUGAGAGCACUGCUGCAUGCGAGCUCUGGAUAUACAAAACACAGCUGUCACUCACCAUGGCAUUUUCACUAUCAAAAAACAUCCUAUAGAGAAGCAAUGCAGCAUCCGACUGUAAGUAGAACUUUCAAAAGGAUCCGGAUAAUUUUAGCACAGAUAACUCCCAACUCGGCACAAACAAUCGCACAUUCCUCCACUGCCAUCACCUUCCUACCACUUGCAUCCAGCUCCCUUUGCUCUGAAGAACCCCGAAUUCCCCACACUUCCCGGAUGCCACAUUAAAUACAAGUUUUCCUACCACCUCAGCGCCUCUUGUACCUUCAAAUGUCAUUAAAUCAGGAGUGAGCUUUCUCUACUGCAGGCUUCUCAGUUCUAUGGGCUGCAAGAGAAAUGUCAAGUAGGUAGCACCGAACACGUGUGUUAAUAAAUCUGUUCAAGUGUUCAGUUUAAGAUCCAUAGAGCAAACACUACCAGAUGCACCAUUCAUUACCCCAAAUGAAAUUACUCACAGAACUUACAAAAUACACCCAAGACUUCUGUAGAACACAACAGAAUAUAGACCAUCAUUUGCUCUUCAUGUUAAAUUAAUAAUCUACGCAAUUAAAUGCUUGCAAUUAACGGGGGUUUAUUAUUUUUGCAGCAUAGUUCUGUAAUUGCU